GAUGAAGAACGUAGCGAAAUGCGAUAAGUAGUGUGAAUUGCAGAAUUCAGUGAAUCAUCGAAUCUUUGAACGCACAUUGCGCCCCUUGGUAUCCCGAGGGGCAUGCCUGUUCGAGCGUCAUUUCACCACUUAAGCCUGGCUUGGUGUUGGGCGACGUCCCCUUUGGGGACGCGCCUCGAAACGCUCGGCGGCGUGGCACCGGCUUUAAGCGUAGCAGAAUCUUUCGCUUUGGAAGUCGGGGCCCCGUCUGCCGGAAGACCUACUCGCAAGGUUGACCUCGGAUCAGGCAGGGAUACCCGCUGAACUUAAGCAUAUCAAUAAGCGAGGA
rnacentral:misc_RNA from 1 species